AUGACUGUGGUGGCAUCAGCCAUCUUCUAUGGCCUUGUCUGCUGGAGAGGUGGCAUUACAGCCGUAGAAGUUGGCUGUUGCCACCACAGAGUCGUGUGUGAGGCUAAAGAAGCGGCCCAGCAGGGGAAUCUAGAACGUUCCCUGGAGCUUUUCCGCCUGGCGUAUCAGCUGCGGCCCAGCGCUAAACUAAAGAACCGAAUCCAGCGACUGCAGGAAGCCAUGCAAGAACAGGAAGAGGAAGAAGAAGGGGAGGAGUUCAUCAACGUGAACGACAGCGGCCUGAUGCUGUAUAAGGAACUCUGUAAUAAACUGUACGACCAUCAGAAAGAGGGUGUGGCCUUCCUCUACGGCCUGCACAGGGACGGGCGGCGGGGCGGCAUACUGGCAGACGAUAUGGGCCUCGGGAAAACCAUCCAGGUUGUUUCCUUCCUGUCAGGAAUGUACGAUGCUGAGCUGGCCAAGCACACGCUGCUGGUCAUGCCCACCUCGCUCAUUAAAAACUGGGUACGGGAGUUUGCCAAGUGGACCCCAGGGAUGCGGGUGAAGGAAUUCCACGGCACCAGCAAAACAGAAAGAAACCGGAAUCUGGAGAGGAUCCAGCGGAAGGGGGGGGCCAUUAUAACCACUUACCAAAUGGUCAUCAACAACUGGGAACAGCUGUCAAUGUUCCAGCAGCAGGAAUUCUGCUGGGAUUAUGUCAUUUUGGACGAGGCACACAAGAUCAAAACCCCGUCCACCAAAACGGCAAAGUGCGCUCGUGCCAUCCCAGCCCGGCACCGCCUGCUUCUGACCGGCACGCCCGUCCAGAACAACUUGCGAGAAAUGUGGGCGCUAUUCGAUUUCGCCUGCCAGGGUGCGCUGCUGGGCACCGCAAAAACAUUUAAGACGGAAUACGAAAACCCCAUCACUCGCGCCAGAGAGAAAGACUCUACACCAGGAGAGAAAGCCCUGGGCCUUAAAAUCUCCCAAAACCUGAUGGAGCUCAUAAAACCAUAUUUCCUUCGCCGGACGAAGGAUGAGGUGCAGCAGAAAAAGCAGAGCGAUAAAGAGAACGGCUGUCCAAAUAUAGGUGAUCCAGCCGAAAUGCCCUCACUGACCCGUAAGAACGAUUUAAUCAUCUGGACGUACCUGAGCCCAGUGCAGGAGGACAUUUACAAACAGUUCAUUUCUCUGGAUCACAUCAAAGAGUUGCUGAUGACCACACGCUCUCCGCUGGCUGAGCUGACCGUGCUAAAGAAGCUUUGUGACCAUCCUCGUCUGCUCUCCGCUCGAGCAGUCACUCAGCUGGGCCUGGAGGAGGGGCCGGCCACUGACCAUGCCCUCCAGGAGGAUGAGGGCGAAUCUGCAGCUGGCCGUAUCGACCGCAUCUCGGACAAGACUCUGUUGGAAGAAUCUGGAAAACUGCGCUUCCUCAUGUCUCUGCUGGAACAUCUCAGAGAGGAAAAUCACCGGACACUGGUGUUCUCCCAGUCCAGGAAGAUGCUGGACAUUAUUGAACGUGUCCUGCGGAACCGGAACUUUCGGAUGCUGCGAGUGGACGGUACGGUGACCCACCUGGCUGAGAGAGAGAAGCGCAUUGCCCUUUUCCAGACAGACAGACGGUACUCGGUCUUUCUUCUGACCACGCAGGUGGGCGGAGUCGGCAUUACGCUGACUGCUGCUAACCGGGUGGUGAUUUUUGACCCCAGCUGGAACCCGGCGACGGAUGCGCAGGCGGUGGACCGAGCAUACCGUAUCGGACAGACAGAAAACGUUGUGAUCUACCGCCUCAUCACCUGCGGCACUGUGGAGGAGAAAAUCUACCGCAGACAGGUGUUUAAAGACUCUCUGAUCCGGCAGACGACGGGCGAUAAGAAGAAUCCGUUCCGGUAUUUCAGUAAGCAGGAGCUGAAGGAGUUGUUUACGUUAGAGGAUGCCCACUCGUCCUCCACGCAGCUGCAGCUGCAGGCGCUUCACUCGCAGCAUCGCCGCUCUGACCCAGAACUGGACUCGCACAUCGCCAAGCUGCACCGCAUGGAAAUGUUCGGAAUCUCCGAUCACGACCUGCUGUUCUCUAAAGAGGCUGCGGAGGACGAGGACGACCCACAGGAUGCUGAAUCUGACCGCUACAUCCAGACCCGAGUGCAGAAAGCGCAGGAACUCGUCCAGGCUGAAUCCGAACUGCACGGCCAGAUGAUGGACAGUGUCGCUAACAGCACAGAACCAGCUUGGCUCAGGCUCGCAAAGCAGCGCGAGAUAGAGGAGUCCUCCAGGAAGAAGCCGACAGUCCGAGAGCGUGGGAAAGCUACGCAUGAUUCCAGCCCCCCCUCUGUGGUGGACCUCACCCAGUCCUGCUCAGAUGACCUGAAUGAACUCUCGUACGCUAAUGAGGUGGAGAUCAUCAGUGAAGAUGGAGAGAUGGAAAAUAAGAAUGAGAGGAUGAUUUCUGGAGGAGUCAUGGAAUUAUCUGAUGUGGCUAGUUCUGCAGCUGCUGAAAACUCGAUGAGCACUCCAGUGGAAGACAGUUUAAUCUUCAGGGAGGAGUCCUCCACUCCUCCCUCUGAGGAGGCGCCCUCUGAGGAGGCGCCCUCUGAGGAGGCGCCCUCUGAGGAGGCGCCCUCUGAGGAGGCUUCCUCCUCCAGCCUGUGCAAGCCAUCUCUGCAGAUGGAGGACAAACACGAAGAUCACAGAAACAGUCAGCUUUUCUCCCCACAUGUCGAAUCUCCCAUCCAGUCAGAUUCGUCUACAGCACUGCUGGAGGUGGAGCAAAAUGCAUCUCUGUGCGCAUCUGUGCUGGCCGAGUCAUUCCAGGGAAAAUUUAACUUGCAGCUGGAAGACAGUGCUGACCUGUUCUCGGGUCAGGAGGAGGAGGAAGAGGGUGAAGAGGAGAUGGACCCAGCUGAAGAACAGAAGUUCCAGCUGCAGUUGGACAUCAGUGGAGACAGGCUGGUCAGCAGAGAGGCCAGUGCCUGCGGUUUUCCUGAUAUGCCAAAGUCCACCAUGUCCACUCCUGCCGACGAGUCUUUUCUUCACCCAGUCAGGAAGAAAAAAGCUCAGGUCCUUUGUGACAGUGAGGAGGAGGAGGAGGAGGAAGGGGAGGUAGAAAAACCAUGUUUAGCAAGCAGCCCGUUGGGUGGCAGCUUUAAAAGUCUUGGCUCUUCCACACCGAAGUCUGUGCCGAGAAACGGCGCCCUCCGCAGGCGCAGCUUGAACACCUCAGUAGCUUCCCGACGCUCAUUUGUGGAGUCGCUGCUGGAAGACCUGGAGGAGGAGGCGGAGGAUUAUGUCACCGAGGGGGCGGAGCUUAGUCAGGCAUCCGAAGCCAGUGGAACAUCUGUUGUGGAAUCUGUGGAAGAAGAGGAGGAGCCAAGCGGGGAAACGCUGAAUUCAGAAAACCUGUGUGAGAGCGAGGGAGUGAGCCGAAGCGAGUACGAGAGUGGAGAGGAAGAGGAAGAGGAGGUUGAAGAAGAGCAGAGCUAUUCAACAGAAGAGCUCUGAGAAAAAGUGUCCUCAGAAACGGCACCAAUUAAACACCACCAGGGGGCUCUUGAGACCCCAGUGCAUUCUGGGAAAUGGGGGAUAUAUAUAUAUAUAUAUAUGUGUGUGUGUAUAUAUAAAAUUUGGAGGGGUGGGGUUUAUUGGUAUAUUCAUAGAUUAGCUGAAGUCCUCC
ensembl:lncRNA